ensembl:snoRNA Gm23325 small nucleolar RNA SNORA17
CCUUCCCUUAGAAGCAUUGCCGGUGUGGUUGCUGUCACAUGUGCAUCAGUAGAUGGCAAAGAGGAGAGAGGCAAUGUCUGUUCUCAGUGUUCUGACCUAUAAAUAUCUUUUGAUUGGUAGCCUAAAAUU